GAUGAAGAACGCAGCGAAAUGCGAUAAGUAAUGUGAAUUGCAGAAUUCAGUGAAUCAUCGAAUCUUUGAACGCACAUUGCGCCCGCCAGUAUUCUGGCGGGCAUGCCUGUCCGAGCGUCAUUUCAACCCUCGAACCCCUCCGGGGGGUCGGCGUUGGGGAUCGGCCCUUUACCGGCCGGCCCCGAAAUACAGUGGCGGUCUCGCCGCAGCCUCUCCUGCGCAGUAGUUUGCACACUCGCACCGGGAGCGCGGCGCAGUCCAAUGCCGUAAAACACCCAACUUUCUGAAAUGUUGACCUCGGAUCAGGUAGGAAUACCCGCUGAACUUAAGCAUAUCAAAAGCGGAGGA
rnacentral:misc_RNA from 1 species